AUUGAACGCUGGCGGCAGGCCUAACACAUGCAAGUCGAACGAGUGGCGGACGGGUGAGUAAUGUCUGGGAAACUGCCCGUUGGAGGGGGAUAACUACUGGAAACGGUAGCUAAUACCGCAUACCAUCGGAUGUGCGCAGAGGGGAUUAGCUAGUAGGUGGGGUGACGGCUCACCUAGGCGACGAUCCCUAGCUGGUCUGAGAGGAUGACCAGCCACACUGGAACUGAGACACGGUCCAGACGCCUAGGGGAGGCAGCAGUGGGGAAUAUUGCGCAAUGGGCGAAAGCCUGAUGCAGCCAUGCCGCGUGGAUGAAGAAGGCCUUCGGGUUGUAAAGUACUUUCAGCGAGGAGGCGUUACGCGCAGAAGAAGCACCGGCUAACUCCGUGCCAGCAGCCGCGGUAAUUC
rnacentral:rRNA from 1 species